AUUGGUUCUUGACCUUUUGGCUAAGAUCAAGUGCAGUGUCUGUUCUGAUCAGCUUAAAGUCCAUUCACGAACCCCGAGUUCAGAAUAACUGCUCUAGACCUGUUCUAGAAGUAAGGCAUCUGGUUUUCUUCUUUGUUGCCUUCUGAACGGUAAAUUGUAUGUUUCAAUAACGCUACUUUCAUUUUAGAAAUACAUAUAUUU
rfam:Equus caballus chromosome 25, whole genome shotgun sequence.